rnacentral:rRNA from 1 species
AGGGUUUGAUUCUGGCUCAGGAUGAACGCUGGCGGCGUGCCUAACACAUGCAAGUCGAACGAAGCAACCAAGAGGAAGUUUUCGGAUGGAAUCUUGAUUGACUGAGUGGCGGACGGGUGAGUAACGCGUGGGUAACCUGCCUCAUACAGGGGGAUAACAGUUAGAAAUGACUGCUAAUACCGCAUAAGCGCACGAUACCGCAUGGUAUUGUGUGAAAAACUCCGGUGGUAUGAGAUGGACCCGCGUCUGAUUAGCUGGUUGGCGGGGUAACGGCCCACCAAGGCGACGAUCAGUAGCCGACCUGAGAGGGUGACCGGCCACAUUGGGACUGAGACACGGCCCAA